rnacentral:rRNA from 1 species
GAUGAACGCUGGCGGCGUGCCUAAUACAUGCAAGUCGAGCGAAUGGAUUAAGAGCUUGCUCUUAUGAAGUUAGCGGCGGACGGGUGAGUAACACGUGAGUAACCUGCCCAUAAGACUGGGAUAACUCCGGGAAACCGGGGCUAAUACCGGAUGACAUUUUGAACCGCAUGGUUCGAAAUUGAAAGGCGGCUUCGGCUGUCACUUAUGGAUGGACCCGCGUCGCAUUAGCUAGUUGGUGAGGUAACGGCUCACCAAGGCAACGAUGCGUAGCCGGCCUGAGAGGGUGAUCGGCCACACUGGGACUGAGACACGGCCCAGACUCCUACGGGAGGCAGCAGUAGGGAAUCUUCCGCAAUGGACGAAAGUCUGACGGAGCAACGCCGCGUGAGUGAUGAGGGCUUUCGGGUCGUAAAACUCUGUUGUUAGGGAAGAACAAGUGCUAGUUGAAUAAGCUGGCACCUUGACGGUACCUAACCAGAAAGCCACGGCUAACUACGUGCCAGCCGCCGCGGUAA